rnacentral:tRNA from 1 species
GCUGGGGAUGUGGCUCAGUGGCAGAGCACUUGCCUAGCACGCAAGAAGCCUUGGGUUCAAUCCCUAGUACAGCA